GAGAGGUGUGUCUCUGCUGGUCCUGGUAGUUCCAUACUGUGAGAGGUGUGUCUCUGCUGGUCCUGGUAGUUCCAUACUGUGAGAGGUGUGUCUCUGCUGGUCCUGGUAGUUCCAUACUGUGAGAGGUGUGUCUCUGCUGGUCCUGGUAGUUCCAUACUGUGAGAGGUGUGUCUCUGCUGGUCCUGGUAGUUCCAUACUGUGAGAGGUGUGUCUCUGCUGGUCCUGGUAGUUCCAUACUGUGAGAGGUGUGUCUCUGCUGGUCCUGGUAGUUCCAUACUGUGAGAGGUGUGUCUCUGCUGGUCCUGGUAGUUCCAUACUGUGAGAGGUGUGUCUCUGCUGGUCCUGGUAGUUCCAUACUGUGAGAGGUGUGUCUCUGCUGGUCCUGGUAGUUCCAUACUGUGAGAGGUGUGUCUCUGCUGGUCCUGGUAGUUCCAUACUGUGAGAGGUGUGUCUCUGCUGGUCCUGGUAGUUCCAUACUGUGAGAGGUGUGUCUCUGCUGGUCCUGGUAGUUCCAUACUGUGAGAGGUGUGUCUCUGCUGGUCCUGGUAGUUCCAUACUGUGAGAGGUGUGUCUCUGCUGGUCCUGGUAGUUCCAUACUGUGA